CCAGGGGUAGCCUGGCUGCGUCUGCACCUCCUCCUGUCUCUCCUUCCUAGGACCAAGCUCCCGCAGCCCCGACUCGGACUCGGUGUCGCCGGACUCGUGGGGUGGCCCGGUCCUAGGACCCUGGGACCCCACCUUUACCAGCGACGCGCUGCCGUUCCUGGACAGGCUGCCGAAGCCCAAGGCGGGCCCCAGGCCGCCCUCCAUGCACUACUGCGAAGUUUGCAGGGUCAGCUGCGCGGGGCCGCAGACCUAUCGGGACCACCUGGAAGGGCAGAAGCACCGGAAGAAGCAGGCAGCUCAGAGGACCCGCACGCAGCCCAGUGGAGGUCCUAGAGGAUCCCAGAGCCUUCACUGUGGCCUGUGUGCUGUGUCCUGCACGG
rnacentral:lncRNA from 1 species